AGUGAACGCUGGCGGUAGGCCUAACACAUGCAAGUCGAACGGCAGCACAGUAAGAGCUUGCUCUUACGGGUGGCGAGUGGCGGACGGGUGAGGAAUACAUCGGAAUCUACUUUUUCGUGGGGGAUAACGUAGGGAAACUUACGCUAAUACCGCAUACGACCUACGGGUGAAAGCAGGGGAUCUUCGGACCUUGCGCGAUUGAAUGAGCCGAUGUCGGAUUAGCUAGUUGGCGGGGUAAAGGCCCACCAAGGCGACGAUCCGUAGCUGGUCUGAGAGGAUGAUCAGCCACACUGGAACUGAGACACGGUCCAGACUCCUACGGGAGGCAGCAGUGGGGAAUAUUGGACAAUGGGCGCAAGCCUGAUCCAGCCAUACCGCGUGAGUGAAGAAGGCCUUCGGGUUGUAAAGCCCUUUUGUUGGGAAAGAACAGCAGCAGGUUAAUACCCCGCUGUUCUGACGGUACCCAAAGAAUAAGCACCGGCUAACUUCGUG
rnacentral:rRNA from 1 species